CGGGUGACCCGGGUUCGAUCCCCGGCA
rnacentral:ncRNA from 2 species